UGCCCCGUCGUCUAAUGGUAAGACUGCGGUUUCUGAUACCGCCUAUUGAGGUUCGAAUCCUCACGGGGCAUCCA
rnacentral:tRNA from 47 species